GACGGACGCUGGCGGCGCGCCUAACACAUGCAAGUCGAACGAGAGAGAGGGAGCUUGCUUCCUCGAUCGAGUGGCGAACGGGUGAGUAACGCGUGAGGAACCUGCCUCAAAGAGGGGGACAACAGUUGGAAACGACUGCUAAUACCGCAUAAGCCCACGGCUCGGCAUCGAGCAGAGGGAAAAGGAGCAAUCCGCUUUGAGAUGGCCUCGCGUCCGAUUAGCUAGUUGGUGAGGUAACGGCCCACCAAGGCGACGAUCGGUAGCCGGACUGAGAGGUUGAACGGCCACAUUGGGACUGAGACACGGCCCAGACUCCUACGGGAGGCAGCAGUGGGGAAUAUUGCACAAUGGGGGAAACCCUGAUGCAGCGACGCCGCGUGGAGGAAGAAGGUCUUCGGAUUGUAAACUCCUGU
rnacentral:rRNA from 1 species